GGCGGCGUGGAUAAGACAUGCAAGUCGAACGGGAACUUUUUUGGUAGCAAUACUAGAAAAGUUCUAGUGGCGAACGGGUGCGUAACACGUGGGCAAUCUGCCUUAAAGUGGGGGAUAGCUCGGCGAAAGCCGAAUUAAUACCGCAUGUGAUGAGAGACGACAUCGUCUUGAAAUCAAAGCCGGGGCAACCUGGCGCUUUUUGAGGAGCCCGCGGCCUAUCAGCUUGUUGGUGAGGUAACGGCUCACCAAGGCUUUGACGGGUAGCUGGUCUGAGAGGACGACCAGUCACACUGGAACUGAGACACGGUCCAGACACCUACGGGUGGCAGCAGUCGAGAAUUUUUCUCAAUGGGGGAAACCCUGAAGGAGCGACGCCGCGUGGAGGAUGAAGGUCUUCGGGUUGUAAACUCCUGUCAUUUGAGAACAAGGUGCGCGUAUUAACUGUACGCGUAUUGAUAGUAUCAGAAGAAGAAGGGACGGCUAACUCUGUGCCAGCAGCCGCGGUAAUACAGAGGUCCCAAGCGUUGUUCGGAUUCAUUGGGCGUAAAGGGUGCGUAGGUGGCGCCGUAAGUCGGGUGUGAAAUUUCGAGGCUUAA
rnacentral:rRNA from 1 species